CAGUAGCCACGGGAAUACGUAGGUGGCAAGCGUUGUCCGGAAUUAUUGGGCGUAAAGCGCGCGCAGGUGGUUUAAUAAGUCUGAUGUGAAAGCCCACGGCUCAACCGUGGAGGGUCAUUGGAAACUGUUAAACUUGAGUGCAGGAGAGAAAAGUGGAAUUCCCAGUGUAGCGGUGAAAUGCGUAGAGAUUAGGAGGAACACCAGUGGCGAAGGCGGCUUUUUGGCCUGUAACUGACACUGAGGCGCGAAAGCGUGGGGAGCAAACAGGAUUAGAUACCCCGGUAGUCCCUGUCUCUUAUAA
rnacentral:rRNA from 1 species